CCUACGGGAGGCAGCAGUGGGGAAUAUUGCACAAUGGGGGAAACCCUGAUGCAGCAACGCCGCGUGAAGGAAGACGGUUUUCGGAUUGUAAACUUCUAUCAAUAGGGAAGAAAGAAAUGACGGUACCUAAAUAAGAAGCCCCGGCUAACUACGUGCCAGCAGCCGCGGUAAUACGUAGGGGGCAAGCGUUAUCCGGAUUUACUGGGUGUAAAGGGAGCGUAGACGGCAGCACAAGUCUGGAGGGAAAUGCCGGGGCUUAACCCCGGAACUGCUUUGGAAACUGUGCAGCUAGAGUGCAGGAGAGGUAAGUGGAAUUCCUAGUGUAGCGGUGAAAUGCGUAGAUAUUAGGAGGAACACCAGUGGCGAAGGCGGCUUACUGGACUGUAACUGACGUUGAGGCUCGAAAGCGUGGGGAGCAAACAGGAUUAGAUACCCUAGUAGUC
rnacentral:rRNA from 1 species